AGAGUUUGAUCCUGGCUCAGAACGAACGCUGGCGGCGCGCCUAAUACAUGCAAGUCGAACGAGAAUGUGUAGCAAUACACAUGUACAGUGGCGAACGGGUGAGGACUACAUGGGUAACCUACCCUCGAGUGGGGAAUAACUAGCCGAAAGGUUAGCUAAUACCGCGUACGCUUCCCAGACUGCGGUUUGGGAAGGAAAGCGAUACCGUGGGUAUCGCGCUCUUGGAUGGGCUCAUGCCCUAUCAGCUUGUUGGUGAGGUAACGGCUCACCAAGGCUUCGACGGGUAGCUGAUCUGAGAGGAUGAUCAGCCACACUGGCACUGCGACACGGGCCAGACUCCUACGGGAGGCAGCAGUAAGGAAUAUUGCGCAAUGGGCGAAAGCCUGACGCAGCGACGCCGCGUGGGGGAUGAAGGUCUUCGGAUUGUAAACCCCUUUCGGGAGGGAAGAUGGGAUGGGGUAACCCAUUCGGACGGUACCUCCAGAAGCAGCCACGGCUAACUUCGUGCCAGCAGCCGCGGUAAUACGAAGGUGGCAAGCGUUGUUCGGAUUUACUGGGCGUACAGGGAGCGUAGGCGGUUGGAUAAGCCCUCCGUGAAAUCUCCAGGCUUAACCUGGAAAGUGCAGAGGGGACUGUUCAGCUAGAGGAUGGGAGAGGAGCGCGGAAUUCCCGGUGUAGCGGUGAAAUGCGUAGAGAUCGGGAGGAAGGCCGGUGGCGAAGGCGGCGCUCUGGAACAUUUCUGACGCUGAGGCUCGAAAGCGUGGGGAGCAAACAGGAUUAGAUACCCUGGUAGUCCACGC
rnacentral:rRNA from 1 species